AAAAAAAAAAAGAAGAAGCAUUGCAAACCAACUCAAUGGCAGACCCAAAUCACCAGGAGGCAGGGCCCAGGUGAAUAAGCCACAGGGAUCACCAAGCCUCUGGUACAAACAAUGUACCUUGGGGGCCACAAGGAGAAGGCAAGGAAGACAGCCCUUCAUCCUGCGCCUGGGACGUGAUUGGGCAGGGUGGUAACAUUGAUGAGAAAGGGGUCUUGACCAGCCUUGGCUGAAGCGGGAUGAGAUAAGAUGCUCCAGACAGAAGAGGCAGCAGCCAAGCGGCCCCCAUUGGAGAUCAGAGCCCCUUGGAGCUCGGUGCUGGGCACGCAUGGAGUGAAAGGACAAAGUGCUCCUCUUUGAAGCUGUGGCUGUCAAACAGAGGCGGCUCCCUCUCUCAGAAGGCCCCUGGAAAGCCACACCCAGCUAUGAGGCUGCAUCCCUGAGAUGAGGGCCUCAAGGACCCUGGUUUGUCUGACCCAGAAAUGAGAAACGUCCAUUGGUUCACACUAUGGCCAGAAUCUUGGACCUCGCCUCCGUGGCCUAUCCGUGUACACUGAGUAUCUUAGGGCCAAGGACCUUCCCCUCCCACCCGUGCCUCCCCCUCACACAGAAUUGCUUGGAUGAAGCACCGGACAGCAGUUGUUAGUAGUGGAAGAGACCAUGUGGGGCUGUGAACUGGGCUUCCCAGCAGAGCAGACUUCUGGGAUUUGGCCGCCGCUGCAGAGGAUCAUAGCUGGAAGCUGGAGACAACGUGAUCUCAAAGCGCAGCUCCAAUCUGUGGCCUCCGGAGUAAUGGUUGAGCUCAGAUGGCAGCAAAAGGGAAGCACCAAAUUCUGUCUUCGGCCCUGGUGCCUGGCUUUCCCAAGGGCAGCGGCCAGGAGGGUGUUUUUUUCCAAUCCACAGGGAGUCACCUCUGUGCUGGUGGGGGAAGGGCUUUGAGUUGAGAUUAAGGAAAACAGCAAAAAGAAAGAAGAAAAGUAAAGUCUGCAUGAGAGAGUGGUGUGGGGGAGAAGGGGGCAGGGAUGUUAGAGACAUGUAAUAGAUGCCGCCUGUCUGCCUUGGUGUGUGCGUAUGAUCUUCCUGUCCUGCUGUGUGCAUGUGUGCGCACAGUGACGCUGAGAACACGAUGGCUGCUGUCUCCUCACCCAGGCAGAGCGCUCAGAGAUGGAGACAGAAAGCUGAGAGUUAAUGUAUUUUAUAGCCACAGACACCCUAAGAAGUCCCCGAGUUUGGGAUCUGCAGCCCACAAGAACUUGGGGCGCUGGCCUCACUGUUCCAGGAAGGACCCUUGUUGCCGCUCUGACAGGGUCAGGGGGCAGACGCGACCCAUUAAGUGAACCCGCAGCCCAAGAGGGCUCCCCAGCUGGGGUGGAGCUGGGGUGAGGUUCUGCGUGCAGAAGAGAGCCCGGUUUGGGGGCACAGACAAAGUGCGUUUCACAUCAGCCAUUCUUGGCUUCCCAGGACCUGUAGCCAGCCACGGAGAACAGAUUGUGAGUGGAGCAGCCCUGAGGCUGCUCUAGCCUACAGCAGGGGUGGGCAGGGCCCAGCACAGACCCAGGCUGU